rnacentral:siRNA from 1 species
UCUUCACAUAUUUGAUGUCCU